CAGUAAUAGUGUGUCUUGCAUUAAUAAUGUGGGUGAGUCAUACAGUAAUAGUGUGGGCAGGUCUUACAGUGAUAGUGUGGGUGGGUGUUGCAGUAAUAGUGUGGGUGAGUCUUACAGUGAUAGUGUGGGUGGGUGUUGCAGUAAUAAUGUGGGCAUGUCUUGCAUUAAUAAUGUGGGCGGGUAUUGCAUUAAUAAUAUGGGCGGGCCUUUCAGUAAUAGUGUGGGCGGGUCUUACAGUAAUAGUGUGGGCGGCCCCUACAGUAA